rnacentral:rRNA from 1 species
CCUACGGGCGGCUGCAGUCGAGAAUAUUCCCCAAUGGCCGAAAGGCUGAGGGAGCGACGUCGCGUGUAUGAAGAAACCCUUCGGGGUGUAAAGUACUUUUAACUGGGACGAAUCAAUGACGGUACCAGUUGAAUAAGGGGCUGCUAAACUCGUGCCAGCAGCAGCGGUAAUACGAGUGCCCCAAGCGUUAUCCGGAUUUAUUGGGCGUAAAGCGUACGUAGGUGGUUUAUCGCAUCUCCUGUUAAAUCCCGAGGCUCAACCUCGGGGCUGCGGGAGAGAUGGCUAAACUAGAGACCGGGAGAGGUAAGUGGAAUUGCUGGUGUAGGGGUUAAAUCCGUUAAUAUCAGCAAGAACACCUAAUGUGAAGACAGCUUACUAGAACGGUUCUGACACUAAGGUACGAAAGCGUGGGGAGCGAAUGGGCUUAGAUACCCCGGUAGUC